UACGAAGGGGGCUAGCGUUGCUCGGAAUCACUGGGCGUAAAGCGCACGUAGGCGGCUUGUUAAGUCAGGGGUGAAAUCCCGGGGCUCAACCUCGGAACUGCCUUUGAUACUGCAAAUCUCGAGUCCGGAAGAGGUGAGUGGAAUUCCUAGUGUAGAGGUGAAAUUCGUAGAUAUUAGGAAGAACACCAGUGGCGAAGGCGGCUCACUGGUCCGGUACUGACGCUGAGGUGCGAAAGCGUGGGGAGCAAACAGG
rnacentral:rRNA from 1 species